CGCUGGCGGCGUGCCUAAUACAUGCAAGUCGAGCGGACAGAUGGGAGCUUGCUCCCUGAUGUUAGCGGCGGACGGGUGAGUAACACGUGGGUAACCUGCCUGUAAGACUGGGAUAACUCCGGGCCCCCAGGGCUAAUACCGGAUGGUUGUUUGAACCGCAUGGUUCAAACAUAAAAGGUGGCUUCGGCUACCACUUACAGAUGGACCCGCGAGCGCAUUAGCUAGUUGGUGAGGUAACGGCUCACCAUUGGCGACGAUGCGUAGCCGACCUGAGAGGGUGAUCGGCCACACUGGGACUGAGACACGGCCCAGACUCCUACGGGAGGCAGCAGUAGGGAAUCAACCGCAAUGGACGAAAGUCUGACGGAGCAACGCCGCGUGAGUGAUGAAGGUCCUCGGAUCGUAAAGCUCUGUUGUUAGGGAUGAACAAGUACCGUCCGAAUAGGGCGAUACCUUGACGGUACCUAACCAGAAAGCCACGGCUAACUACGUGCCAGCAGCCGCGGUAAUACGUAGGUGGCAAGCGUUGUCCGGAAUUAUUGGGCGUAAAGGGCUCGCAGGCAAUUUCUUAAGUCUGAUGUGAAAGUUCCCGGCUCAACCGGGGAGGGUCAUUGGAAACUGGGGAACUUGAGUGCAGAAGAGGAGAGUGGAAUUCCACGUGUAGCGGUGAAAUGCGUAGAGAUGUGGAGGAACACCAGUGGCGAAGGCGACUCUCUGGUCUGUAACUGACGCUGAGGAGCGAAAGCGU
rnacentral:rRNA from 1 species